rnacentral:rRNA from 1 species
AACCUCCGCAAUGUGAGAAAUCGCGACGGGGGGAUCCCAAGUGCCAUUCUUAACGGGAUGGCUUUUCAUUAGUGUAAAGAGCUUUUGGAAUAAGAGCUGGGCAAGACCGGUGCCAGCCGCCGCGGUAACACCGGCAGCUCUAGUGGUAACAAUUUUUAUUGGGCCUAAAGCGUCCGUAGCCGGUUUAAUAAGUCUCUGGUGAAAUCCUGCAGCUUAACUGUGGGAAUUGCUGGAGAUACUAUUAGACUUGAGACCGGGAGAGGUUAGAGGUACUCCCAGGGUAGAGGUGAAAUUCUGUAAUCCUGGGAGGACCGCCUGUUGCGAAGGCGUCUAACUGGAACGGUUCUGACGGUGAGGGACGAAAGUUAGGGGCGCGAACCGGAUUAGAUACCCGGGUAGUCCUAACUGUAAACGAUGCGGACUUGGUGUUGGGGUGGCUUUGAGCUGCUUCAGUGCCGAAGGGAAGAUGUUAAGUCCGCCGCCUGGGAAGUACGGUCGCAAGAAUGAAAUUAAAAGAAAGU